CGUGACAGUUACACAUGUUUCCCAUACAAAUUACUCCGUUGCCCACGCUAAGUUAGCAUGGACCAGGUUUAUAUUAGUGUAAAUAAAUUCUUUAUUGUUUACACCGCCUUCAUCUCCCCUUCACUUCAAAUCAGAUAAAUGGUUGGGUAUUCUUGUCAUCCACUAAUUUGUUCUUCUCUUUGUCUCUCCUUCUUCUACUACUCAAUAGUUUCAUUUCAUCAAUCUGUCAAUCACGCCUUCCAAUAAUUUGCUUCUUGGAGAACCAAUUCGUGUGGCCUCAACCCUUGAGUAAUUUAUGUCUACUUAUACGAGACAAUAAAGAACAGAUACUUGAAGAUCUUCACACAUUUUUAACAUAAUUUUGGUUGAAUAGGAUGCGAGAUCAUUUUUACCAAUGACUGAUAGAUUUUGUAAUAUAUAUGGUGUAUCGUUUUUAUAUAAGUUUUUUGUAAUAUACAUGGAGCAUUUUUGGGAAUUAAAAUAGAAAAUUAGUUCAAAUUA